UCAUGCACGGGAGGGUCUCAGGCAAGGAAAAUCCAGAAUCCAGAAGGAAGGAGGCAGGAGGCAGGGUCAGAGACAGGCAGGGUUCAGCAACAGGACUUUCAACAGCAGAAGGAUUAGGCAAAACUCUGAGGCUGAGUCUUGAAACGGUCCGGGGUCAUGCACGGGAGGGUCUCAGGCAAGGAAAAUCCAGAAUCCAGAAGGAAGGAGGCAGGGUCAGAGACAGGCAGGGUUCAGCAACAGGACUUUCAACAGCAGAAGGAUUAGGCAAAACUCUGUGGUCAAAAACAGGCAGGAUCAGAAAC